ACCUCCCUUUUCCCCUUCCCGUUAGCGCCGACCCCAUCCCCUUUCUCCCUCCACUUUCAAUUUUUCGUUCACCAACUAAUACCACUGCCUCCUACCAUUGCCGCCUUUCUUUCUCUCUCUCUCCAUUUCCGUUUCUAGUAAACACAAGGAUCACAGACGAAGCUGCGACUUCAUCCCGAUCAAGACAAUCGCAUCUCAAUCGUUCCUUUCAUUUUUCAGCAACUCCAACUUCCUUCUCUUGGCAGCGCCGCUCGGUUUCUCUCUCUCUCUCCCUUCCUAUUCCCGUUGGCACAGCAGUCGGGUGAAGCUGCAUGUGGUUUUUAAUCGGGUCAAUUGCAACCUAGCUCUCUUUUCUCGCUUUUCCCGCAAGAUCAGCCAACAACCGAUGAAACCGGCUCUUCUGUCGUCACCAGCUCCUCAUGUAUGUCGUUCUUCCCUACUCCGACCAUGCUACCACCAACAAAACUGAAUUUUGAGUGUUAGAGCUGCUGUUGAUCGUUUUACUGGAAAGUGCAAUUUUCGACGCAUAUUGUAGCUAGCAUGAAUUUUUUUAGGUCAUAUGGUAUCCAAGGAUGAAAUCAUGGUUGACUCUAAAAAUGUUAAAGCAGUUAUCGAUUGGCCUGGACCGAUUACAGUCACAGAAGUUCGUAGUUUUCUGGGUUUAGCUGGCCAUUAUUGUCGCUUUGUACAAGACUUUUCUAGGAUAAUAGUUCCAUUAACAAGACUAACCCAGAAGAAUGCCAAGUUCAUAUGGUCUGAUUCUUCGGAAGCGAGUUUUCAGAGGCUCAAAGAGUGUUUGAUCAUCGCUUCGAUGUUAGCCUUACCGUCAAGCAAUUAAGGGUUUACUAUGUUUUGUGAUGCAUUCAAAGCGAGGUUGGGUUGGGUCUUGAUGCAGCAUGGUCAGGUUAUUGCAUAUGCUUUUGGGAGUUGAAGGAGCAUGAGCAAAACUAUCCCACUCAUGAUUUGGAAAUGGCAACCAUCAUUUUUACAUUAAAGAUAUGGAGACAUUAUUUAUAUGGUGUGUCAUAUGAGAUCAUUACUGAUCAUAAAAGCUUGAAGUAUAUUUUUUAUCAAAGAGAUCUAAAUUUGAGACAAAAA